AGCGGAGGAAAAGAAACCAACAGGGAUUGCCUUAGUAGCGGCGAGUGAACAGGCAAGAGCUCAGAUUUGAAAGCCUUUCGGGGCAUUGUAUUCUGAAGCCUUGGUCCUGGGAAACCGAUGUCUAAGUCUUCUGGAAAGGAGCGCCAUGGAGGGUGAUAGCCCCGUACGACAUUGACCCCACUGUAGGACCUUGGCAUGGAGUCGAGUUGUUUGGGAAUGCAGCUCAAAUGGGUGGUAUGCUCCAUCUAAAGCUAAAUAUCUGCGAGAGACCGAUAGCGAACAAGUACUGUGAAGGAAAGAUGAAAAGAACUUUGAAAAGAGAGUGAAAAAGUACGUGAAAUUGUUGAAAUGGAAGGGUAGGCCGCUAACCACGUAGAGUCGUGUUUGGGGGGAAGAUAAAAGCUGAAGAAUGUAACUCCUUGGAGUAUUAUAGCUUCAGUCCAUAUUCCCACCCGAGCGCGAGGACUAAGAC
rnacentral:rRNA from 1 species